AUGAUAUGAUGAUAUGCUUUUGGUCCGUGUUUAUGAUACAUCCUGAUUAUAAAACAAAAGCUUUGACCUG